rnacentral:tRNA from 1 species
GUGCACAUCGUCUAAUGGUAAAGACCACUGUCUUCUAAGCAGUUCAUGAGAGUUCGAUUCUCUCUGUGUACA